rnacentral:rRNA from 1 species
GACGAACGCUGGCGGCGUGCUUAACACAUGCAAGUCGAACGGAAAGGCCCUGCUUUUGUGGGGUGCUCGAGUGGCGAACGGGUGAGUAACACGUGAGUAACCUGCCCUUGACUUUGGGAUAACUUCAGGAAACUGGGGCUAAUACCGGAUAGGAGCUCCUGCUGCAUGGUGGGGGUUGGAAAGUUUCGGCGGUUGGGGAUGGACUCGGGGCUUAUCAGCUUGUUGGUGGGGUAGUGGCUUACCAAGGCUUUGACGGGUAGCCGGCCUGAGAGGGUGACCGGCCACAUUGGGACUGAGAUACGGCCCAGACUCGUACGGGAGGCAGCAGUGGGGAAUAUUGCACAAUGGGCGGAAGCCUGAUGCAGCAACGCCGCGUGCGGGAUGACGGCCUUCGGGUUGUAAACCGCUUUCGCCUGUGACGAAGCGUGAGUGACGGUAAUGGGUAAAGAAGCACCGGCUAACUACGUG